UGCCCGGUAGCUAAAUGCGGAAAAGAUAAGUGCUGAAAGCAUCUAAGCACGAAACUUGCCCCAAGAUGAGUUCUCCCUGAGACUUAGAGUCUCCUGAAGGAACGUUGAAGACGACGACGUUGAUAGGCCGGGUGUGUAAGCGCAGCGAUGCGUUGAGCUAACCGGUACUAAUGAACCGUGAGGCUUAACCUUACAACGCCGAAG
rnacentral:rRNA from 3 species